UUGAUCCUGGCUCAGAAUCAACGCUGGCGGCGUGCCUAACACAUGCAAGUCGAACGCGAAAGUCCCGCAAGGGAUGAGUAGAGUGGCGAACGGGUGAGUUACACGUGGGUGACCUGCCCUCGAGUGGGGGAUAACGUCCCGAAAGGGACUCUAAUACCGCAUGAGAUCCUGCCUUUGAAGAGGUGGAGAUUAAAGCUGGUGAUCGUAAGACCUGGCGCUUGAGGAGGGGCCCGCGCCCGAUUAGCUAGUUGGUGGGGUAACGGCCUACCAAGGCGACGAUCGGUAGCCGGCCUGAGAGGUCGGACGGCCACACUGGGACUGAGACACGGCCCAGACUCCUACGGGAGGCUGCAGUGGGGAAUUGUUCGCAAUGGGCGCAAGCCUGACGACGCAACGCCGUGUGGAGGAUGAAGAUUUUCGGAUCGUAAACUCCUUUCGAUCGGGACGAAUCGUUCGCGACCUAAUACGUCGCGGAACUGACGGUACCGAGAGAAGAAGCUCCGGCUAACUCCGUGCCAGCAGCCGCGGUAAU
rnacentral:rRNA from 1 species